GGGACUGUCAGGUUUCUACAUGUUAGUGCUUCUUAUGAAGAGUGGAAAAGCGAAUUAAGUUUACUUAACUUGAUUCAGCUAAAACAACAAAUGCAAAAAACCAAAUUAUUCCUUUUUCUCGGAGCCUAGUCGCAGCUUAAAAACUACUUUAGCUUAGAACCUAAAUAUAGUUUCGAGUAUCAAUUGUAAGGUCUAUAUUUUACAUAUGAUUAUAACUAAAAUAUAUUGCUCUUGAGUUGAUGUUCAGUUGCCUCUGAACUUUCUCAGUAAAGUUUAAUGUAUAUUAAAAUACUUCGAUUUUUCUGUAUCUAUGGUAGCGUAGAUACCUUCUAAGAUUAUGUUAUUAACAUGGACGUGGGUUCGAAUCCCACCAGUUCCA
rnacentral:tmRNA from 1 species